rnacentral:tRNA from 1 species
GGCGCGGUGGCUGAGCGGUAAAGCGCUUGGCUUCCGAAUAGGGGGUCUCGGGUUCGAUUCCUGGUUAAGACU